rnacentral:rRNA from 1 species
UACGAAGGGGGCUAGCGUUGUUCGGAAUCACUGGGCGUAAAGCGCACGCAGGCGGAUUGAUAAGUCAGGGGUGAAAUCCCGGGGCUCAACCUCGGAAUUGCCUUUGAUACUGUAGGUCUCGAGUCCGGAAGAGGUGGGUGGAAUUCCUAGUGUAGAGGUGAAAUUCGUAGAUAUUAGGAAGAACACGGUGGCGAAGGCGGCCCACUGGUCCGGUACUGACGCUGAGGUGCGAAAGCGUGGGGGAGCAAACAGG